rnacentral:misc_RNA from 1 species
AAGAAUGCCUUGGGGUAGCGCGUUACUUGAGGAAAGCUAGGGCAGCGAUCUGAAAAUGACAGGGUUGCAAGCACACGUGCCUGAGCAGGUGACACUCGGACACAGUAGAACGCUGAUGUCUAGUGGUACGUUACUAAAGAUCUGAAAAUGACAGGGUUGCAAGCACACGUGCCUGAGCAGGUGACACUCGGACCCAGUAGAACGCUGAUGUCUAGUGGUACGUUACUAAAGAUCUGAAAAUGACAGGGUUGCAAGCACACGUGCCUGAGCAGGUGACACUCGGACCCAGUAGAACGCUGAUGACUAGUGGUACGUUACCAAAGAUCUGAAAAUGACAGGGUUGCAAGCACACGUGCCUGAGCAGGUGACACUCGGACCCAGUAGAACGCUGAUGACUAGUGGUACGGUACCAAAGAUCUGAAAAUGACAGGGUUGCAAGCACACGUGCCUAAGCAGGUGACAUUCGGACCCAGUAGAACGCUGAUGACUAGUGGUACGUUACCAAAGAUCUGAAAAUGACAGGGUUGCAAGCACACGUGCCUGAGCAGGUGACACUCGGACCCAGUAGAACGCUGAUGACUAGUGGUACGGUACCAAAGAUCUGAAAAUGACAGGGUUGCAAGCACACGUGCCUGAGCAGGUGACACUCGGACCCAGUAGAACGCUGAUGUCUAGUGGUACGUUACUAAAGAUCUGAAAAUGACAGGGUUGCAAGCACACGUGCCUGAGCAGGUGACAUUCGGACCCAGUAGAACGCUGAUGACUAGUGGUACGGUACUAAAGAUCUGAAAAUGACAGGGUUGCAAGCACACGUGCCUGAGCAGGUGACACUCGGACCCAGUAGAACGCUGAUGACUAGUGGCAGUGGGACGUCUGGCGUGUGCCUCUUGCAACUGGUUGGUGUUUUGCAGGACAGCAUAACGAAUUAACAGUAAUACGAGCGCCGGCGGGAGGUGUUCCCGAUGUCACCUCGGCUUGCUGUUGUCUUUUGCAGGAGUCAGAUGAGCGUCGCUGUGCUGGAUAGCGACGCACUGAAGCUGCGGCAGCGAACAGACGCACUGGGCGUCUUCGCAGAAGCGGCAAUACCACCUGUGCUGUGCAAACCGGAAGCUGUGGUGGAUGCUUUGCUUUCAUCACGCGGUGCUGUGCUACGUUUAACGCUGCCUGUUACGGUCUGGAUCCUGGUGAUUCUGCGCUAGUGCUAUACAAGCUGCUGCGUGUUCUUUUCCUUGACGGACAGGUAUGCGCCUUGCAGAUGCGUAACGCGUUGCGGGCCAACUGCAUACCAGGCUGCGCUACGCUGGCUUGUGCACUGAUCGGAUGGCGUACCUUUAUCCGAUCCGUUUCAGUGAAUAGAAUAACUUUUCUUUCUGGGGUGUUUCUGUAGCGGAUGCCGGUUUCACGAGCGAUGCGGCGUGCUCUUCCUUGAUCAAGCGUGGGUGUUCUACGUGACGGUUGGCCCUGCUGCCGUGUGCUCUCGCAAGCAGUAGCGCAACGAGUGUGCCUUCAUCGUGACUGUGCUGUACUUUGCAUGCAAUCACUCGUGUGGGGCGGAAGCGUCCUGCUGUAUGCUUGGAUAACGAGAGCCGUGAACCAGCUGUGUUGGCCCUGGGGCGCUCACUUGCCGGUACCAGAAGCUGUUGAGGUUUGUAACGCUGCGCUUGCAGUGACAUCCACGCAGGUGUCGUUUGCAGACCUCGUCCUAGACAAAUCAAAUG